UCUUCUUUUGUCUGGCGACCGGCGCACGGGUGAGUAACACGUAUCCAACCUGCCCUUUACUCGGGGAUAGCCUUUCGAAAGAAAGAUUAAUACCCGAUAGCAUAAUGAUUCCGCAUGGUUUCAUUAUUAAAGGAUUCCGGUAAAGGAUGGGGAUGCGUUCCAUUAGGUUGUUGGUGGGGUAACGGCCCACCAAGCCUUCGAUGGAUAGGGGUUCUGAGAGGAAGGUCCCCCACAUUGGAACUGAGACACGGUCCAA
rnacentral:rRNA from 1 species